rnacentral:rRNA from 1 species
CCUACGGGAGGCAGCAGUGGGGAAUAUUGCACAAUGGGCGCAAGCCUGAUGCAGCGACGCCGCGUGAGGGAUGACGGCCUUCGGGUUGUAAACCUCUUUCAGUAGGGAAGAAGCGAAAGUGACGGUACCUGCAGAAGAAGCGCCGGCUAACUACGUGCCAGCAGCCGCGGUAAUACGUAGGGCGCAAGCGUUAUCCGGAAUUAUUGGGCGUAAAGAGCUCGUAGGCGGUUUGUCGCGUCUGCCGUGAAAGUCCGGGGCUCAACUCCGGAUCUGCGGUGGGUACGGGCGGACUAGAGUGAUGUAGGGGAGACUGGAAUUCCUGGUGUAGCGGUGAAAUGCGCAGAUAUCAGGAGGAACACCGAUGGCGAAGGCAGGUCUCUGGGCAUUAACUGACGCUGAGGAGCGAAAGCAUGGGGAGCGAACAGGAUUAGAUACCCUGGUAGUCCAUGCCGUAAACGUUGGGCACUAGGUGUGGGGGACAUUCCACGUUUUCCGCGCCGUAGCUAACGCAUUAAGUGCCCCGCCUGGGGAGUACGGCCGCAAGGCAAAACUCAAAUGAAUUGACGG